rnacentral:rRNA from 1 species
UACGUAGGCAGCGAGCGUUGUUCGGAGUUACUGGGCGUAAAGAGUGCGUAGGCGGUUUUCUAAGUUUGGUGUGAAAUCUCCCGGCUCAACUGGGAGGGUGCGCCGAAGACUGGAAGGCUUGAGUAUGGGAGAGGUAAGCGGAAUUCCUGGUGUAGCGGCGAAAUGCGUAGAUAUCUGGAGGAACACCGGUGGCGAAGGCGGCAUCCUGGACCGGUAUUGACGCUGAGGCGCGAAAGCCAGGGGAGCAAACGGG